GAUGAAUGCUGGCGGCGUGCCUAAUACAUGCAAGUCGAGCGGUAAGGCCCUUCGGGGUACACGAGCGGCGGACGGCUGAGUAACGCGUGGGAACAUGCCCCAAAGUGAGGGAUAACGCACCGAAAGGUGUGCUAAUACCGCAUAUGGUCUUCGGAUUAAAGGAUUUAUCCGCUUUGGGAGUGGCCCGCGUACGAUUAGAUUGUUGGUGAGGUAACGGCUCACCAAGUCGACGAUCGUUAACUGGUCUGAGAGGAUGAUCAGUCAGACUGGAACUGAGACACGGUCCAGACUCCUACGGGAGGCAGCAGUAAGGAAUCUUCCACAAUGGGCGAAAGCCUGAUGGAGCAACGCCGCGUGCAGGAUGAAGGCCCUCGGGUCGUAAACUGCUUUUAUGAGUGAAGAAUAUGACGGUAACUCAUGAAUAAGCACCGGCUAACUACGUGCCAGCAGCCGCGGUAAU
rnacentral:rRNA from 1 species